rnacentral:rRNA from 1 species
GACGUAGGAGGCGAGCGUUAUCCGGAUUCACUGGGCGUAAAGCGCAUAUAGGCGGUUGGAUAAGUCCGUUGUUAAAGCCCCUGGCUCAACUGGGGGAGGUCAAUGGAGACUAUUCGACUUGAGGGCAACAGAGGCACAUGGAACUCCCCGGUGUAGCGGUGGAAUGCGUAGAGAUCGGGAAAGAACACCAGUGGCGAAGGCGGCUCACUGGCCCGGUACUGACGCUGAGGAGCGAAAAGCGUGGGGGAGCAAACAGG